GGCCCAAAUCUGAAGUAGGAUCGAUUGGUAAGGUCAGCUGAUACUACUAUUCUACUGUACUUCAAAACUGGGCCC
rnacentral:pre_miRNA from 1 species